AUAGAGGUGGUGGACAGAGGAUAAGACCAUACUGUAACAAUGAGAUAGAGGUGGUGGACAGAGGAUAAGACCAUACUGUAACAAUGAGAUAGAGGUGGUGGACAGAGGUAAGACCAUACUGUAACAAUGAGAUAGAGGUGGGGGACAGAGGUAAGACCAUACUGUAACAAUGAGAUAGAAUGGUGGACAGUGACUAAGACCAUACUGUAACAAUGAGAUAGAAGGUGGUGGACAGUGACUAAGACCAUACUGUAACAAUGAGAUAGAGAUGGUGGACAGUGACUAAGACCAUAUGAUACAAUGAGAUAGAGGUGGUGGACAGUGACUAAGACAUACUGU
rnacentral:lncRNA from 1 species